AUGCGACGGAAGUGAAGUUUCGGAUGGAGCAGAAGAUGCAUGUCUAGCGGCGGACGGGUGAGUAACGCGUGGGCAACCUGUCCUUCACAGGGGGAUAACACAGCGAAAGUUGUACUAAUACCGCAUAUGACCACGGUAAGACAUCUUACAGGGGUCAAAGGAGCAAUCCGGUGAAGGGUGGGCUCGCGUCCGAUUAGAUAGUUGGUGAGGUAACGGCCCACCAAGUCGACGAUCGGUAGCCGACCUGAGAGGGUGAUCGGCCACAUUGGGACUGAGACACGGCCCAAACUCCUACGGGAGGCAGCAGUGGGGAAUAUUGGGCAAAAUGGGGGGAACCCUGACCCAGUAACGCCGCGUGAGGGAAGAAGGUUUUCGGAUCGUAAACCUCUGUCCUUGGUGAAGAGGAAGAGACGGUAGACCAAGGAGGAAGCCCCGGCUAACUACGUGCCAGCCGCCGC
rnacentral:rRNA from 1 species